UGGGGAAUCUUGGACAAUGGGGGAAACCCUGAUCCAGCGACGCCGCGUGGGUGAUGAAGGCCUUCGGGUCGUAAAGCCCUGUCGGGGGGGAAGAAACUCUUGCCGGUAAAUAAUCGGCGAGAUUGACGGUACCCCCUAAGGAAGCACCGGCUAACUCCGUGCCAGCAGCCGCGGUAAGACGGAGGGUGCAAGCGUUGUUCGGAAUUACUGGGCGUAAAGGGCGCGUAGGCGGUCCGCUAAGUUCGGCGUGAAAUCCCCUGGCUCAACUGGGGAACUGCGCUGGAUACUGGUGGACUAGAGUACCGGAGAGGAGAGUGGAAUUCCUGGUGUAGCGGUGAAAUGCGUAGAUAUCAGGAGGAACACCGGUGGCGAAGGCGGCUCUCUGGACGGAUACUGACGCUGAGGCGCGAAAGCGUGGGGAUCAAACAG
rnacentral:rRNA from 1 species